GGGUAAANNNACUGUUUCGGUGCGGGCUGCGAAAGCGGUACCAAAUCGUGGCAAACUNUGAAUACUAGAUAUGCUGUUCAUAAGCCAGUGAGACGGUGGGGGAUAAGCUUCAUCGUCAAGAGGGAAACAGCCCAGAUCACCAGCUAAGGCCCCAAAAUGAUCGUUAAGUGGCAAAGGAGGUGAGAAUGCAGAAACAACCAGGAGGUUUGCUUAGAAGCAGCCACCCUUUAAAGAGUGCGUAAUAGCUCACUGGUGGAGCGUUCUUGCGCCGAAAAUGUCCGGGACUAAAUGAUCUGCCGAAGCUGUGGGAUACUUGUUCGAAUAACAACGUUAUUCGAAAUGAAAAAGUAUCGGUAGGGGAGCGUUCUGCUGUAGGGUGAAGCAUUGAUGGAAGUCAGUGUGGACGAAGCGGAAGUGAGAAUGUCGGCUUGAGUAACGCAAACAUUGGUGAGAAUCCAAUGCCCCGUAAACCUAAGGAUUCCUCCACUAGGUUCGUCCAUGGAGGGUGAGUCAGGACCUAAGGUCAGGCCGAAAGGCGUAGCCGAUGGCAAACAGGUUAAUAUUCCUGUACUACUUUUUGUUGGUACCGAGGGACGGAGCAGGCAGAGGGAAGCCAGAUUUGGAUUUUGGUGGAAGCUUUCAAGGCGUUGAGAAAUAGAAGAAAAACUAUUUUGAGUUAAGAAGUAAUACGUUUUCAUCUUUCGAGGNGAGAAUUUC
rnacentral:rRNA from 1 species